GGUCGCGUGGCCUAAUGGUUACGGCGUUUCCUUCCUAAGGUGAAGAUUGCGGGUUCGAUCCCCGCCGUGACUU
rnacentral:tRNA from 1 species